UAAAUUGAGAGUUUGAUCCUGGCUCAGGAUGAACGCUGGCGGCGUGCUUAACACAUGCAAGUCGAGCG
rnacentral:rRNA from 1 species